UAUCGGACAAUGGGCGCAAGCCUGAUCCAGCAAUACCGCGUGUGUGAAGAAGGCCUUAGGGUUGUAAAGCACUUUCAAUUGGGAGGAAAACCUGCCGGUCUAUACCCGGUAGCUUGACAUUACCUUUAGAAGAAGCACCGGCUAACUCCGUGCCAGCAGCCGCGGUAAUACGGAGGGUGCGAGCGUUAAUCGGAAUUACUGGGCGUAAAGCGUGCGUAGGCGGUUCGUUAAGUCAGAUGUGAAAGCCCUGGGCUCAACCUGGAACUGCAUUUGAAACUGGCGGACUAGAGUUUAGUAGAGGGGAGUGGAAUUUCAGGUGUAGCGGUGAAAUGCGUAGAUAUCUGAAGGAACACCAGUGGCGAAGGCGACUCCCUGGACUAGAACUGACGCUGAGUACGAAA
rnacentral:rRNA from 1 species